rnacentral:rRNA from 1 species
CACGUAGGGCGCGAGCGUUGUCCGGAAUUAUUGGGCGUAAAGAGCUCGUAGGCGGCCUGUUGCGUCCGCUGUGAAAGCCCGGGGCUUAACCCCGGGUCGGCAGUGGAUACGGGCAGGCUAGAGGUAGGUAGGGGAGAAUGGAAUUCCCGGUGUAGCGGUGAAAUGCGCAGAUAUCGGGAGGAACACCGGUGGCGAAGGCGGUUCUCUGGGACGGCACUGACGCUGAGACGCGAAAGCGUGGGGAGCGAACAGG